rnacentral:lncRNA from 1 species
CCUGUGCAGAUCGCUAUCAUCUGCCACCCCAGCCGGGGCAGCGGCUGUCAGAACGGGGGGGGGGGGGGGGGGCGGGGGCGUCCGCCCCCCGGGGAUCACCAUGGUGGCGGCUGCCACCAAAGCCUCCAUCCUCUCUUAGGAGCGACACCUCCAAGCCUGGAGGCCGUCUGGGGAGACAGUCAAUGUUCCCGGCCAGUGCGGGGAGGGGUGGGGGUGGGGUGUCACAGAUCCGCUCACGCUUCCCAGGUGCUGUUCUUUCGCUGCUACAGUCCCUUCUGGUUCCGUUCCCCGAGGUAUCCGUCGGGGCCUGGGUCCACGUCCUGUGCCAGCAGUGGAUGGCUGGCUCCGGGCAGGGGGCGGGCGUGGGGGUGGGGGCCCGAACUGAUCGAGCCCUCCCGCUGCUCCGCUGGGGUAGACCUCCCCGUCGGGUCCCAGAAGCCAGCAGCCAGCCGAGACUGGUCUAGCCUGGCUCCUGAGGACCCCCCUCCCCCCCUUCCCGGGGCCCCGGGAGCUGGCCCCGAUCUCGUUGUGGGGUCGAACGGGGUCGAACCGGGCUGGAUUGGACGGGCCGGGCUAGGGCGGGAUGGGCCUGGAUGGCGCGGGACCGGGAAGGAUGGGGACGGGACGGGGCGGAUCGAGGAGAGAAGAGAUGGGACGGGACGGGACGGGGACGGGACGGGGUCGGGACGGGAUGGGACGGCUCGGCUGGGCAGCGACGUUCACGUUCAGACCUCUCGCUUGCGCUUCAUGCUUGGGCCAGUACGGAUUGUUGGAUUGUUCGAACUCCAACUCUCGGUCCUCGAGUCGUCUCCUCCUCCGCCCUCCCCCACCUCCUUUAAGUCCUCCCCGCCCGCGCCCCCUCCCCCAGGAGCGUCCGGGUGGGGGCGCCCUGGCCUCUGCUCCGGCCCUCCCCGCCCCCGCCAGGGAAAGAGACCGCGCCCCCCGUAGGCUGGCUGCCCUGGCGCUGACAUGUCGCUGAAGUGCCUACUGUGCGUCAAGCGCCGGGAGGGAGAUGCGGAGCCAGGGCCCUCGUUAGCGUCCACCUGGCAGGAGGCAGGGACUGGCGGAUGCAGCCGGGAGAGGUUGCAGACGAUGUGACCUGUUGCACGGCCACUCGAACUUUUCCCAUUUCUUGUCAUUCUCCGCGCUGGGAGCCGCCUUCUCCUCUCUCCUGUCUGGGCCCCUCUGGGCUCGGGCAGGCUUCCCAGUGUGCUGGGGGGAUCCGGGUGGCCUUUCCCCUUCCCCACCCACCCUCCGUGAGGAGACCAAAGGGCAGCCAACACCCAGCCCGGGGAGGAGGACAGAAAUAAACUGCUCGAGCCCCGAGCGGGGAGGGCUGCC